UUUACAUAUGAGACUGCUUGAUCGGUUUAUGAACUAAAUUGAGCGGACUAGGUAGUUCUUCUCUUAUAGCUUGAUCGAUUUAGGUCUCAACUCAAGCGAUUUAGUGUUUGAAUCGGUCACAGCUCAAGCGAUCAAAUAUCAUAUCGGUCACUGCUUAAUCGAUUUAGGAAUUUUAUCGCAGAUUGCUUGAUCGGAUAAGAGACUUCAUCGCAGGCUGUUUGAGCGAUUUAGGCAAAUUCAUCAGAGUUUGAGCGAUUUAAGAAUCUGCUUGAGCGAUUUAGAAAACCUGUUUGAGCGAUUUAGGAUACAGUUUGAGAAUUUAGGUCACAGCGUAAGCGAUUUAGGGGUUUAUCGCACACAGCGUAUGCGAUUUAGGGAGUUUAUUGCUCACGAGCAUCCGAUUUAGACAUUAUCGCACAGUUGUUGUCUUAUCCAAUCGACUUUCAUCACGGGUUGGUAAUCGCUGAAAGGGUUUAACAGCAUUCGAUUUACAUCUUCAUCGUUGCUAAAUCGGACAGCCAAAAUUGCUGGGCAUCUCAAGAACAGAUUUUGAAUGAAAUACGUUUACAAAAUCUGCAACGGCAACUUGUACAUGGUCUGCUUGAGGUGAUUACUCCUAGAAUAAAAUUGGACAAAAGAUUUUGUGCAGGUGUUCCAUGAGUGGAAGGUGAAACCUGUGAUCGAGGUACUUCUUUGCUCUGCUGAUUGGCAUAGGCACUGGAUUAGUUGUUCUCAUCAAUAUCUCUGUUGAGAACUUUGCUGGAUGGAAGUACUCGUUGACUUUUAGGAUAAUACAGAGUUCAUAUGUGGUUGGAUUUAUUGUAUAUACCGUGAUCAACUUGGCUUUAGUCUUUUCAUCCGUUUUUAUCAUCACACAAUUAGCCCCAGCAGCAGCAGGAUCUGGUAUACCUGAAAUCAAGGGUUAUGUGAAUGGGAUUGAUACUCGUGCAGCUCAUCAAUUUUCUGGUUUGUAAAACAUGGCAGCAGUGAGAUAAAGGAACAGCUGUUUAUGCAGAUAUUGUUGCUGCAUUUGGUGUUGUUGAAAUCGCUUCAGUUGCUGGUUCUGAAGAAGCUGUUCUUGCUGUUUCAUAUGCUGGUGUUGAAGCAUAGUAGAGUUUUGCUGUAGUGUACCCAUCCCACUAUGAGAUGACAAUGGAUUUAUGUUUUCUUGUUGAGGACCACUCACUGCAUUUUGUCACUGACCUGCUGCCAUGAGUUUAUUGUACUAUUCUGUCCUGAAUCAAGAUUAGAAUUAGGUUGUAUGGAACUCAUCAUGUUCUGUUGAGCAGUUGAAGAGACUGAAUUUUGUUGAAAACUCCUCAUAUUAUUAUGUUGCAUUGUUGCCAUAGAACCCUGUAAAUUCACCGUUUGCAUUUGGGAAUUCAUCUGAUUUUCAUGCGGUUG